AAAACAUAUAAUCCGAGAAAUCAUAUAACCUCAAAAAAAAAAAACAGAAAGGCGAGAAAAAAAGAGAGAAAAGGUCGUGGGUUUCAUCCUCUCUGGCGGCCUCCACGGCGCUGUGAGAGGAGUGUAUAGCUCUAGGGUUUCCUUGUUUGCUGUGUGCAGUUUCUUCCGGACAAGUGUUUUACCAUCGUGAUUUAAGGUGAGGAGGGGUGAAAAGAUUUGUUUUGAGCGCCGGUGAUAUCUCUUGUGGUCUUCAGAGUCGAUUUGGAGUCUUGGUUCAGAUCUAGUACGGCGAGGUUGUGAUUUGGAGCUCUGGUCCCCUUCGAUUCAGAUCUGGGUUUGUUACCUAGGGUUUGGUCGUUUUGGUACUGUAGUAGUUUUUGGCUGCUGAUUUGAUCUUUUGACUUUCUUUUCGUUGUCUUCAUCUCUUGUUCCUAUUUCGUUGGAGGUCUAUAGUGAUGGCUUGUCCUUUUUUUCUUGUUGGCUUGGUAGUUCGUUUGAGCCUUGUUGGUUUAGGAUUUGGGUGGGUUGUCUCUGUUAUGAGCAUGGGUUCGAUGGCAAGACGGAGCUUGGACUUCAGGUGCAGUCUCCUUUUCCUAUUGUGGUAGUAGCAGUUUUCUCUUGCCGGUCCAGGUGUAAAGGAGCCUAAAAAAAUGUGUUCCAGCCGUAUUGAGAGUUAUGUGGAGCGUGAAGCGCUCAGGCUUUUCGGGUUGUGAAGUCCUGGUUUUAGGUUUCUAGUUGGGGAUGGUAUCGUUUGGCCGGCUGUAAGCGGCAGCGAUAGAUCCGAGAUGAGAAGACUUGGUGUCUUCGGUUCUAGAGGUGGAAGGUAUCGUACGGCGGGCUAAGGGCAGCUACGAUAUAUCCAGAUCAUUGAUAUCUAUUACGUGGGAACAUUGGUUAUGCUGAAUCGUCUUUUAACUUUGUGUAGCUCGUUUUUGUUGGUUAUGUUUUAGUUGCGGUUCCUAGCUUAGGUUUCGUUCCGUGUUUAUGUUGUAUUUAAAAGUUGUUCCAGUGUGGGUUCUAACUGUCUUUCUUUGGGUUUUUGUUUCUGAGAAUUUUAUGAUAUCCGCCAGCAUCGCUAGCAAAACUUGUGUUCUAACGUUUAAUGAAUAUCAUCAAUUCAGAGGGAAAAAA